GAUGAACGCUGGCGGCGUGCCUAAUACAUGCAAGUCGAGCGAACAGAUGAGGAGCUUGCUCCUCUGACGUUAGCGGCGGACGGGUGAGUAACACGUGGAUAACCUACCUAUAAGACUGGGAUAACUUCGGGAAACCGGAGCUAAUACCGGAUAAUAUAUUGAACCGCAUGGUUCAAUAGUUAAAGACGGUUUUGCUGUCACUUAUAGAUGGAUCCGGGCGGCAUUAUCUAGUUGGUAAGGUAACGGCUUACCAAGGGAACGAUGCGUAGCCGACCUGAGAGGGUGGUAGGCCACACUGUAACUGAGAGACGCUCCAGACUCCUACGGGAGGCAGAGGUAGGGAAUCUUCCGCAAUGGGCGAAAGCCUGACGGAGAACCGCAGCGUGAGUGAUGAAGGUCUUCGGAUCGUAAAACUCUGUUAUUAGGGAAGAACAAAUGUGUAAGUAACUAUGCACGUCUUGACGGUACCUAAUCAGAAAGCCACGGCUAACUACGUG
rnacentral:rRNA from 1 species